UACGUAGGGUGCGAGCGUUGUCCGGAAUUAUUGGGCGUAAAGGGCUCGUAGGCGGUUUGUCACGUCGGGAGUGAAAACUCGGGGCUUAACCCCGAGCCUGCUUCCGAUACGGGCUGACUAGAGGUAUGCAGGGGAGAACGGAAUUCCUGGUGUAGCGGUGAAAUGCGCAGAUAUCAGGAGGAACACCGGUGGCAAAGGCGGUUCUCUGGGCAUUACCUGACGCUGAGGAGCGAAAGUGUGGGGAGCGAACAGG
rnacentral:rRNA from 1 species